GGAAGUAAAAGUCGUAACAAGGUCUCCGUUGGUGAACCAGCGGAGGGAUCAUUACCGAGUUAUACAACUCCCAAACCCACUGUGAACCUUACCUCAGUUGCCUCGGCGGGAACGCCCCGGCCGCCUGCCCCCGCGCCGGCGCCGGACCCAGGCGCCCGCCGCAGGGACCCCAAACUCUCUUGCAUUACGCCCAGCGGGCGGAAUUUCUUCUCUGAGUUGCACAAGCAAAAACAAAUGAAUCAAAACUUUCAACAACGGAUCUCUUGGUUCUGGCAUCGAUGAAGAACGCAGCGAAAUGCGAUAAGUAAUGUGAAUCGCAGAAUUCAGUGAAUCAUCGAAUCUUUGAACGCACAUUGCGCCCGCCAGUAUUCUGGCGGGCAUGCCCGUUCGAGCGUCAUUACAACCCUCAGGCCCCCGGGCCUGGCGUUGGGGAUCGGCGGAAGCCCCCUGUGGGCACACGCCGUCCCUCAAAUACAGUGGCGGUCCCGCCGCAGCUUCCAUUGCGUAGUAGCUAACACCUCGCAACUGGAGAGCGGCGCGGCCAUGCCGUAAAACACCCAACUUCUGAAUGUUGACCUCGGAUCAGGUAGGAAUACCCGCUGAACUUAAGCAUAUCAAUAAGCGGAGGA
rnacentral:rRNA from 1 species